rnacentral:piRNA from 1 species
UAGGAGCCAGCGGAAGGAUGUUUCUUAGG